GGCGGGGGCAGCUCCGGCCCGGUCCCGCCGGGAUCGCGCCGGCCGCGCUCCGCCGGCGGGAGCGGCGCCACCCCCACAACCGGAGGGCACGGACUGGCAGAGAGCGCCCCACGGCCCCAGGGGUGCCCCGGCCAGCCCGGUGUGUCUGUCAGUGCUCAGCUUCGCCUCGUUCCCUGGUGUGACUCGUCUCCCAGAGCAGAUUCCCACUGCUGAGAGCAGGAGGAGCAAUCGAUCACAAGCCGGACUCUAGAUGGCAUUCCUGCCUGGAGCAGAUGCAGCUGCAGUGUGAAGGAGAGCUGUCCUCAUGUGGCUGAGAGCACGCGAUGCUGAUGGGCAAGUUCAGUGUCCUCAGCCACCCCUUGUCUCCUGCACUAAAUUCACCUCGUGGGCCCAGGCUCCUGGAAUAUGAAGCUGCCACUCGUGCUGCUCACAGCUGUGCUGCUGCAGUUGUGAGUGCUGUGAGAACACACGCCUUAAACAGCUAGAGAGCUCCUGGUGAGUCACACAGUCCUGUUGCACCCCAUGCAGUAUCACUGCAGGGUGGUUUAUGACAGAAAGCAAAGAUCUAUGUGGUCUGAUGCUGACAGUCUGGUAAAUGUAAUAAAGGUUUCACCAGACAAAAUGAGUUAUGUGGUGACAAAUGUCAUCAGCUACUGCAUGCUGCAGCACCAAAGUGUUACCUCCCUUUGCUGUCCUGCUCAGUUUGCUCUUCCAUGCUCUUAUAAGCAGAAAUCAUUACAUUUAGCAAGAUGUCCUACCUGCUUUUUUAUAUAGUGCCUUCUGUGUGGUGAUGUCACACUUUGUACAAGAGGUGUUUGCAUUCCUGAAAAUUUGAAAAAGCAAAUGAAAAUACUAAUAAAAUGUUUUCUGAAAUGUUUAAAAUGUAAUUUUUCUUUAAGAUUCAAUGUCCCACUGAAUAGUUACGUAACAAUGCUUAAAUGCAGUCUUUUCUUAGUCUUUCAUUAGGCACAAUAAAUAUAAUGUAAAGUCACAUCAAAAGACAAAAAACAUACCACCAUGAAACAAAACCCUUGUGAGUCCUGUCAUUCUUAGGAAAUCAUGUUUGGCAGAAACUUAUUCCUUUUAAGUUUUGUUACAAAGUUAAAAAAAAAGCCAAGUAAACAUACAUCUCCUCAUGCCUGAAGGUCCACUUCCACAUCUCAGUGACUUUUAAGAGUGUUAGGCCAAGUUCCAAGAGGGAUUCACUCUCUACUAGAACUCCAAUCCCCUCAAGAGCAUUAGGCUUAGUGCCAGCAUUCAUUUACUCUUGGAACAGCUUAAAUUAACUCCUGUUACAUUCUGUCUAAACCCUUUCUUACAGAGUAAGAGUUGAGAGCUGGAUUCAGUCGGUUAGUCUGAAGGCCACCCAUCAUGCUUGUCUGUCUUCCUGGACUUAAAAUGCUGCAUAAACUGGAUUGGGGAAGGCAGUGAUCAGCUGUUUCUAAGUUGAGGGAGGAAGCUGGCAAGCCAUCUUUUGUAUACAUGUCCCCAUCUCACAAGAAAUAGCGUGGGGGUUGGUCUGACUUAUUUAACAUAAGUACUUAUGACAGUAAGCUCCAACCAAAUGUGAGAUUUUAGUAGGCUGUACAGUGUGCUAACAGUAUUUUGAUACUUGCCUGGCAGAGCUGAACAGACAAGCUAAUCAAAGGACAACAAAUAUCACUGUUUGGUUUUAUAAGUCAAGAACUGGAUUGUCAGAUUAUAUUUUGCCCAAUGUCAGACAGAAGAUUGAAAUGGAAGGUCUCACAAAGCCAGACCUUCUUUAGCCGAGUCAAACUUAUAUGGUCUCUGAAGAAUAUCACUUCUGUUUUACUUUAGCAAACAUGAGAACAGUCUGUUUGCCUAUGAGUAUAAGGCAAACACUCUGAAGCAGGUAAGGAUGUAAGCACAGGGAAGACAAGUUUUCUGAAAAGUGAUAACACAAAAUGUUCUUAGCACACUUAGAAAAGUACAGGGUGAUUGACAGAACUCGACAGUCAUUAAAGUUGGCCAGGUGAUACCUUGGUCUCUAUCCAGAGGCUCAAAAGUCCUGUACCCAGGUCUUCAUGGUGAAGGCUAGAAGUUGAGUUCAGGGAUUUCCAAAGCUGCCUUGUAAGACUGUUAUUCACAGAAUUGUUAGAACCUUUCAAGGUCAUCUAGUCCACCUCCCUCCAAUGAGCAGAAACAUCUUUAGCUAGGUCAGGUUCCUCAGAGCCCUGUGCAGCCUCUACCAUUUUCAUAAUUUCUAUCUAUCCCUCCUCCACAAGAAAAAAAGAAAACAAAACCAAACAACAGAUAGAGGCGAGAUUACUUUCAAGGAAUCUGAAUUACCUUCCUCCAAUGAAGAAUCUUUUAAGCUGUUAGUUUACAGAAAGUCCAGUUGUUUUGUAUGCUUUGGAGAUGAUGGAAAUGGAACUAAUUACUAGACAGUCAACAUUCAUCCACUAGUAGAUCUGAAAAUAAAUAUGAGCAUUUUGUGGCUAGAUAACACUAUUCAGCUCAUAAAUAAGAGUUCACAGCAAUCUUUGCAGUUAGGAGCUACACUAUAAAUAUAGCUUAUCUCCAAAUAUUUUCAACUUGCUAAAGUUACUUGAAAGCUUAUCAUGAUAGAGUCCAUUUAAAAGGAAAAGAAUUAAAAUUUAUCUAAGAUAUGUGUCCCCAAAUACCUCUCAUAGCAUUCAUUUAUACUGACCUUUCUAACACACUGUCUUCCCACACUCUUUGUAUGUAGUUAGCUGAAAAACUAUGCUGGUAUAUGUAACACAAGUUCCCUCAAACUUCAGAAUUACUUUUUUUAACUGAAGUUGAAAAUCAGAGAAAAAUAGUUGAAAGCAAAAUUUAAACACUAAUGUGAAUACAAAAAGCAGAUCAAAACUGAUUCUCUUUUGUGAAGGAAUAUUCAUUUUUUAAAUUUGGAAAGUUUAUUUGCUAUUACUUUCCAAGUAAGGCUAUAGGUCUCAGUUCUGUGACAAGUUUCAUAUAUUAUACCUAAUUUUAAGCAUUUUGAAAAAUUCUGUGGUCUGAAGUAAGACUACUUUGCAUAAAAUUAACUGUAUACAUAAAUAUUUGAAGAGUGGAGACUUUCUUGCUAUUAGAUGAGAACUGUAGUUCAACUGCUGUUUUAUCUUUUAAUGAUAAGAUCCCAUUGCAUUUUUGCAACAAUAAUAGGGGUUCCUUGAAAACAUUUUAAGUGAUGAAAUUACAUGAUGUGUUUUAGCGCUAGUAUUUUCCUCAUGUUUUCACCUGAAUAAGUUGUCCUUCAUUUUUCUUCCCUUGCAAACAUUCUUCUGCAGUGCUGCUAGCCCUGAUUAAAAAGAAGAGAGCUAUGUCUAAGUGGGAUCCUAUCAUUUUGACCUUUAACCUGUACUUUUGUGUACAAACAAAUAUAUGCACAUUUAUAUAUAUAUUUUGCCUAUAAUAUAUUAAUCAUAGGAUUUCCUGAAAUCUUAUUACCAGUGCUUUUUAUGUAAAUAUAGAAUUGUGUUGCUUGGACCUUGCUAUAUUUCAGGGGGUGUUUCUUCUCUUUUCUUUCAUUCUCUGAAAUCAGUGUGAGCAUUGCAAUCAAUUAUAAUUAUACCAGUAUUUCACCCUGAAUUUUGUAAGAAGAGUUGGCAGUAAUAACUAUAGUUAAGAUUGCCUAAGACCUUCUGCUGUAUAGAUUCUGUACUUAAAAAGAGAGAGGGAUAGAAAUUGUGCAUAAGAGUACAAUAAAACAUGUCAAGAUUAGCAAAGUUAAUUUUAUCUGUGUUACCUGAAAAACCAGAAGGAUUUAUUAGGGACUCUGACUUUAUAUUUUUAAAUGCAAUGUGACUGAGACCGAUAUAAUUUAAAAUAACUAUUAUUAUGUAGUUCAAAAAAUACUAUAAAGAUGGCAAGGCAUUACUUCAGAGUAUUACCAAAGAAACAAUUAUAGAAUUGUCAGUAUUGUAACCUGUAAAAUAUUUUUAAAAUAAUUGUUUUCUGGAAAUGUUGAAGUAGAGGCAGCAUCAUAUAUUUAUUUCUCGUUUCUUUUCCCAGACCACAGUCUAGAACAACUAUUAAUAACAUGUUGCACUGCUACUGUGAUUUAUUAAAGUUACCUUAAUUAUCACAUCCUUAAUACUACUGAAGAUGGUGAAGUAUAUAUAAUUAUUUCUGUGAAAAAGAAAGAAAUAAUAAAACUCUAAAUUACUGUUUU